GCCUGAUCCAGCCAUGCCGCGUGUGUGAAGAAGGUCUUCGGAUUGUAAAGCACUUUAAGUUGGGAGGAAGGGCAGUAAGUUAAUACCUUGCUGCUUUGACGUUACCAACAGAAUAAGCACCGGCUAACUUCGUGCCAGCAGCCGCGGUAAU
rnacentral:rRNA from 1 species